ACUCCUACGGGAGGCAGCAGUGGGGAAUAUUGCACAAUGGGCGCAAGCCUGAUGCAGCCAUGCCGCGUGUGUGAAGAAGGCCUUAGGGUUGUAAAGCACUUUCAGCGAGGAGGAAGGCAUCACACUUAAUACGUGUGGUGAUUGACGUUACUCGCAGAAGAAGCACCGGCUAACUCCGUGCCAGCAGCCGCGGUAAUACGGAGGGUGCAAGCGUUAAUCGGAAUUACUGGGCGUAAAGCGCACGCAGGCGGUUUGUUAAGUCAGAUGUGAAAUCCCCGCGCUUAACGUGGGAACUGCAUUUGAAACUGGCAAGCUAGAGUCUUGUAGAGGGGGGUAGAAUUCCAGGUGUAGCGGUGAAAUGCGUAGAGAUCUGGAGGAAUACCGGUGGCGAAGGCGGCCCCCUGGACAAAGACUGACGCUCAGGUGCGAAAGCGUGGGGAGCUAACAGGAUUAGAUACCCUGGUAGUC
rnacentral:rRNA from 1 species